AACUGCCAAAAAGCUGCAGCAGAAAAGGCGAUGAAGACCAGCAAGAAAAAAAACAAAGCUGCUAACGACGUCACUCCAUCUCGACCAAACUGGUUCAUCACUAGUAGAAGUAUCAAUGUAUCAUUUGCCAUCAAUGCAGCUGCGGCCUUUUCGUUCUAUCAAAUGAUGAUGAUGAUGAUCACAUUUACUCCUUCUCAAGAUCUUGCUGCUACUGGUUAAUUAGCUGUGAUGCUGAUCGGUUAAUCAGCCAGUCAGUAGUGGUGGUGGUGGUCGUCGUCGUCCAAGAUAGGCAAGAGAGGAGAGGACGGAACGGAGGUUGCGUUCCAGUAGAAAAGGGAGAGCAACGGGCGAGAUCGCGGCGGCGGCGAUGGGGAGGAGGGCGGCGAGAGGAGGGUGAGGCUGUUCGUCGGCCAGGUGCCGCGCAGCAUGGCGGCGGAGGAGAUCCUCGCCGUCAUCCGCCGGGCGGCGCGAGCCGACGACGCCACCGUCAUCCGCAACCGGGCCACCGGCGCCUCCCGCGGUUGCUGCUUCGUGGUGUGCCCGUCGAGGGAGGAGGCCGACAAGGCCAUCGCCGCGUACCACAACAAGUGCACCCUCCCUGGAGCGUCCAGGGUAAUGCAGGUAAGAUACGCAGAUGGCGAGCUGGAAAGAUUAGAUGCUGAGCAGAAGCUUUUCGUUGGCAUGCUUCCGAGGGAUGUGAAGGACAACGAAGUUUCUGCAUUGUUUUCACAGUAUGGAAGUAUUAGACAACUGAAGCUACUGAGAAGUCCACAGAAAACAACCUGUGCUAUUCUGGAAUACGAAAGCAAAGAACACGCCAGAGCGGCCAUUGAAGCUUUGAAUGGCAUGCGUGUGUUGUUCAAUGGUUCAGAUGCAACUUUGGUUGUCAAGUUGGCUGACACUGAAAAGGAAAGGCAAGCAAGAAGGGCACAGAAAGCUCAGGCUCAACCUUCUAAGCCCUUAGGAGUCAAUCUUGUUCCCCAGCUACCCAUAUUUGGAGCACCAGAUAUGAGGUUUCUUCCUCCAUAUGAUGUACUAUGUUACAAGACUGAAGGAACAACGGAUCCAGAAUUGAAAGAUCUAAUGAAGAUGACAAACAAACUUGAGAUGCUAGUGACUGAGCUCAAGAGAGUGGUGAACUUAUUAGAGAAUCGAGUUACAUAUAAUGAUCCAAUACUGCCAAAUCAACAUUCUCACUUAUCUGUAGAGCAUGACGAGAAGCAAGAUAAGCCUAACGAGUUUGAUUCCAAAACAUUAGAGGUACCAGGGAUUAUGUACACACAAAGAACCCAUUGUAAAACCAAGCAUCCUACAGCACUAUGUACCCACAUGUCAAUCAAGGAAAUUUACUUCAGGGACUCAACACAAAUAUACUUCCAAGAACAGAUCCUAAAAUAUCCAACUUGAUUCAAUCUGCUGGAUACAUAAAACCUCCUUUCCCUGAUUUGACAGGUCUUCAGUACCCAGUAUCAUAUGAAGGUGCCUUAGUGGGAGAUAGACCACAGUAUUUGUCUGACUGUUUGAUAAACAUUCAUAGCAAUCAUACCUCAUCUGCAGCAAAGAAUAAGAUCGAAGGACCUCCUAGGGCUAAUUUAUUUGUCUAUGACAUCCCUCAAGAAUACGGUGAUGAAGAUCUGGCAAAUCUAUUUCAUGAAUUUGGUAGGAUCCUGAGUACAAAAGUUUUCAUUGACAAAGCUUCUGGUGUCAGUAAAUGUUUUGGCUUCGUUAGUUAUGACACACCAGUAUCAGCUCAGGCUGCUAUCAGGAGGAUGAAUGGCUCACAGAUAGGUGGCAAAAAGCUCAAGGUACAGCUCAAGAGGGAAGCAUGAAUGUGACAGCCCAGUUAACAUAUUGUGGAACUAUGAUAUCUGGAUAUUGUAGCUCAGAGAGUACCAUCCUGCAUAGUGAACAAGGCAAUGCAGCAGGAUAUGGAAAACCAUAGAAGUAGCUAUGACAAAGUUGUUCAUUGUAACUAUUUAAGAUCGCCAGAAUUUAUAGGCACAGUUCUCCUGUAGCAUAUACACAGCUAAUGCAUAUGAACAUGUAACUGAAUCUGGCAUUGAGUUAAGCUUCAGGUAGUUUUAAUGCAAAAGAGAAAAGAAGGCAUCCAAUUGCUUUGCAU